UGGUUCUUGUGUUAUGAGAAAAGUCACCCAGUUUUGUGAGAUCCCUUUGAAACUCUUCGCAGUCUGCUUUAGACUUAACUGUCUCGUCAACUCUCAACUGUGCAAAUUCUCAUGAGUCAAGGCCAUCUCCCUUGUGGAAACUCCUGCAUCUGUCUGAUGCAGCAAAACCCAGAGAAAUCUCCCCUGCAGGAGAGCCUCAAUGGUGCAGGAGCAGCUCAGCCUUCAACAAACACUCCUCCAGCUCCUGCAGAACAUGGGAACCAUCCCUGCUCUGUGCAGAGGCAGCUGGGAGAACUUCAUGGGGCAGGGAAGACUAACAACAAGAUGCAGGCUCCUAGGUACCUAUUCACUUUCCUUGCUCACAGCAAACUGAUUGCAGCUAUUACGCUGGGGACUCCUCAAAACUGAGGAAUUGUUCCUUCAAUAUGCAUCACCUUGCACUUGUCUUCACGGAGAGGUGUGGGCAAUUGCCCUUUAAUAAAUGCUCCCCUAAGAGAUGUCUGAUUGACCUCCAUAGCGCUAAGC